GUUCCAACUAGCCCCUCUUUCCCUUGUUCCCCGGCACCCAGGACUACAGGGCCUCACUACUUCACUCCCUCCUCGAGGUCUAUAAGGUCCUGAGCUCAAAGAUGCCUCACCGGUCUCAGGCUUUGCUGAUUUCCACAACAGUCUAUCCAUCACACCUGCUUCUACAUUCCACAGGCACCCCGAUUCUCCCCCGGGCCUGCUAACUUCAAGAUGGAUAAGGAGUGAGGAAGGCAAGGCCAGGAGAGGUGAAGCAACUUGCCAGAGCAGUGAGGAAGACAGUAAGCAGAAGACAGAGUGAGUGGGAACCGCCUAGCUCCCAGCACCUGCCCCGAUCAUCACUGCAUCACGCCCCUCUCCAGGGCAGUGAAGGAGACACAGACGUGGAGAACAGACUUGUCGACACAGCAGGAGGAGAGGGUGGGAUGAAUGAAGACAGCAUGGAAACAU
ensembl:lncRNA